AGAAGGGAAGCUUGCUCCCGGAUGUUAGCGGCGGACGGGUGAGUAACACGUGGGUAACCUGCCUGUAAGACUGGGAUAACUCCGGGAAACCGGAGCUAAUACCGGAUAGUUCCUUGAACCGCAUGGUUCAAGGAUGAAAGACGGUUUCGGCUGUCACUUACAGAUGGACCCGCGGCGCAUUAGCUAGUUGGUGGGGUAAUGGCUCACCAAGGCGACGAUGCGUAGCCGACCUGAGAGGGUGAUCGGCCACACUGGGACUGAGACACGGCCCAGACUCCUACGGGAGGCAGCAGUAGGGAAUCUUCCGCAAUGGACGAAAGUCUGACGGAGCAACGCCGCGUGAGUGAUGAAGGUUUUCGGAUCGUAAAGCUCUGUUGUUAGGGAAGAACAAGUGCGAGAGUAACUGCUCGCACCUUGACGGUACCUAACCAGAAAGCCACGGCUAACUACGUGCCAGCAGCCGCGGUAAUACGUAGGUGGCAAGCGUUGUCCGGAAUUAUUGGGCGUAAAGGGCUCGCAGGCGGUUUCUUAAGUCUGAUGUGAAAGCCCCCGGCUCAACCGGGGAGGGUCAUUGGAAACUGGGAAACUUGAGUGCAGAAGAGGAGAGUGGAAUUCCACGUGUAGCGGUGAAAUGCGUAGAGAUGUGGAGGAACACCAGUGGCGAAGGCGACUCUCUGGUCUGUAACUGACGCUGAGGAGCGAAAGCGUGGGGAGCGAACAGGAUUAGAUACCCUGGUAGUCCACGCCGUAAACGAUGAGUGCUAAGUGUUAGGGGGUU
rnacentral:rRNA from 1 species